GUGGGGAAUUUUGGACAAUGGGCGCAAGCCUGAUCCAGCAAUGCCGCGUGCAGGAAGAAGGCCUUCGGGUUGUAAACUGCUUUUGUCAGGGAAGAAAUCUUCUGGGUUAAUACCUCGGGAGGAUGACGGUACCUGAAGAAUAAGCACCGGCUAACUACGUGCCAGCAGCCGCGGUAAUACGUAGGGUGCGAGCGUUAAUCGGAAUUACUGGGCGUAAAGCGUGCGCAGGCGGCUUUGCAAGACAGAUGUGAAAUCCCCGGGCUCAACCUGGGAACUGCAUUUGUGACUGCAAGGCUAGAGUACGGCAGAGGGGGAUGGAAUUCCGCGUGUAGCAGUGAAAUGCGUAGAUAUGCGGAGGAACACCGAUGGCGAAGGCAAUCCCCUGGGCCUGUACUGACGCUCAUGCACGAAAGCGUGGGGAGCAAACAGGAUUAGAAACCCCGGUAGUCC
rnacentral:rRNA from 1 species